rnacentral:rRNA from 1 species
AUUGAACGCUGGCGGAAUGCUUUACACAUGCAAGUCGAACGGCAGCACGGACUUCGGUCUGGUGGCGAGUGGCGAACGGGUGAGUAAUGUAUCGAUAACCUGCCCUUAAGAAAGGAAUAACAGUUGGAAACGACUGCUAAUGCCCUAUAUGCCUUUAAUACAUAAGUAUGCAAGGGAAACGCUUUAGUGCUUAAGUAUGGGUCUGUAUGGUAUCAGCUUGUUGGUGAGGUAAUGGCUCACCAAGGCUAUGACGCCUAACUGGUUUGAGAGGAUGAUCAGUCACACUGGAACUGAGACACGGUCCAGACUCCUACGGGAGGCAGCAGUGGGGAAUAUUGCACAAUGGACGAAAGUCUGAUGCAGCAACGCCGCGUGGAGGAUGACACAUUUCGGUGCGUAAACUCCUUUUAUAUAGGAAGAUAAUGACGGUACUAUAUGAGUAAGCACCGGCUAACUCCGUGCCAGCCGCCGCCGUAA